rnacentral:rRNA from 1 species
CGUCUAUAUACGUAUAGCAUAUCAAUAAGCGGAGGAAAAGAAACUAACAAGGAUUCCCUUAGUAACGGCGAGUGAAGCGGGAAGAGCUCAAAUUUGAAAUCUUCAAGGUUCUACCUUGACGAAUUGUAGUUUAUAGAAGUGUUUUCUGUUAGUGGAGUGGCAAAAGUUCUUUGGAAUAGGACAUCAUAGAGGGUGAGAAUCCCGUAUUUGGUCAUUCCUCCUAGCGUUGUGAUACACUUUCAACGAGUCGGAUUGUUUGGGAAUGCAGUCCAAAAUGGGUGGUAAAUUUCAUCUAAAGCUAAAUAUUGGCGAGAGACCGAUAGCGAACAAGUACCGUGAGGGAAAGAUGAAAAGAACUUUGAAAAGAGAGUUAAACAGUACGUGAAAUUGUCAAAAGGGAAGCGUUUGACACCAGUGUUGUUUUUCCGAAAAUCAAUUACGAAUGUUUUAUUUUUGAGGAGUUAUGACUUCAUCGGCUUGCUCCUUUCUUUAUGAAACUUUCUUAAUGCACUUUUCGGUUAACAAGUCAACAUCAAUUUCUUUUGUUGUAAAAGAGGUCAUUGGAAGGUGGCUUUCAUUUUCGGUAGAAAGUGUUUAUAGCCUUUGGCUUCUGCAAUCGGAGAGAUUGAGGUCUGCAGCGUAGAUCCUUCGGGGUUAGAUACAUUUGUGCUAAGUUAUAGCCUUUCAUAGACAACUUGUUGACUAUGAUCAGUCAUGUAGCUUACUCGCUUAUGCUAUUUUACCUACGCUUAGGAUGUUGACUGAUAUGUAGUCGUA